UGUUACUAAACUGAUCCACUACGGAAAAGGAGAAACUGGAACAUCAAAUCAGAUAUCAGGAAUGGCAAUAUACAAAAACCUGUAGGAGAGCACUUCACCUCCCUGGCC